AAUUGGUACAAUAAUAAAGACAGACACAUACCAAUGCAACCCUUCACCAUAGGCAAAACGGUCUACAGACUAAGAAAUUAUGAAAAUACAACACUAAUUCUUCACCAUCAUUUGCAGUAAUUAGAUCCUUCUUCGUCUACUGCUGCAAUUGCCUUUCUUUGACUUUCUUCUUCGCCUAUUCUCAUGUUGGUCUUCAACCAAAUUCACCAACCAUUUCGGCUUUCCAGUUUGGAAAACAACAUAUCCCACGAACAUUCCGAACACUACUCCGCAUCCAUAACCUAUCAACACCACUUUCCAACCAAAAGCAAUGUUUGAUUUUGAGCCAUCUUUUCCAAGCACAUUUGGAGGUGCUGGCUCAAUGAUGUUGCAACCUUUUGAGACCGGAAAUCCACAUAGUCCCUUAUUUCCUUUGAAUUGUUUGCCUUGAGGAAUCUGACCAUGGAGUUGAUUUUCAGAAAAUUUACGGACGAAAGAAAUGGCAGAUCUACCAAUCUAUUUGGAAUCGUCCCAGACAAACUGCUUGAAGAUAGGUCCAACCAUUCAAGACUUGUCAAAUUCCCUAUUGAGGUGGGGAUAUCACCAUUAGGGUUAUUAUGAGAAAGGUUGAGCCCUUUCAGUAAGUUAAGCUUCCCAAUAACCUUUGGAAUACCCCCUUCAAACUGAUUGUUUGAUAGAUCAAUGAUCAUCCACAUGGUGAAAAUUUUCACCAAUUCCCUAUCUUGUCCUUUCAUAACUAUUCCAAUGGAAUAGGUAUAGAAGCCAGGACCCCAAGGAUAAUUCAACCCCAUGUACGACACUGUACUCCCAAUCUUCUCUAGAUUUAUGAUAGCCUUGAAGCUGUUGAUGUAUCUCACUGGUAGGGGUCCAGAAAAAUAAUUACUUGAGAGGUCAAAAAUUUGGAUUUUAGAGAAAAAAGGGCUAGACUUGGAGCUAUUGACACAUAAGGAACCAUGCAUAUGAUUUGACUUCAAUACAAGAACUUGUAGUGUGGAAGACUUCCCAACCAAUGAGGAAAUGUAUCAUUGAUCUUGUUGUUACCAAGAUCUAGCACUUUCAGCUCAUAACAAUUAACGAUGGAUGGUGUCAAAGGCCCUUCUAACAGAUUUCCAUUUAAGUUGAAAUUACUCAAUUGGAAAAACUCUGCAAAUGUUGGAGGAAUCGUCCCAUAGAACUUGUUCUUCUUCAGAUUCAAGAAUUGAAGCUGGUAGCUGAAAUUUCCAAAACAUUGAGGAAUUGUUCCACUCAAGUUAUUGUGGGACAAAUCAAGAAUUUGAAGAGAACUGGCAUUGCAUAUUAAAGAAGAGACCUCUCCAUUGAAACUAUUAUUUGAGAUCAGAAAGACAUUGAUUGUCGAAGCUGGAAUCGGAAGAUUUCCACGGAUCAAAUUGGAGCUUAAGUCAAGAACUGCAAUAUUAUUCCAUGGAAAGUGCUCAACUUCUGUCAAUGAGUUGUGAGAUACAUUUAAGUAAGUCAAAGAGCCAUUCCCCACCUCUUGCAUCCACUGUGGAAUCUUGCCUUCAAUUUUGUUGCAAGAGAGGUCUAACCUUUCCAAACUUUUAAGCCCUUUCAAAAAUUGGGGGAAUUCACUAAAAUUUAAGGGUUUAAUAAGAUUUUUUAAAAAAAUUGGGGGUCUAAUAAAAAAAUUUAAAAUUUUUUGUGAGAUUAAUGAGAAUUUUCAAAAUUUUAAGAGCACUUAAUUAAAAUUUUCAAAAAAAAUUAAAAGGUAUAAUGAAAAAUUUAAAAAAUUUUUGGGGCUUAAUUGAAAUUUUCUAAAAAUUUCAAAGGAAAAAACAAAAUUCUCCGAUUUUUUUUUUUUUUUGCAUGGGUGGCGGGACAAAGAGCCCCCUAAGCCACCAUAAUAGUCCGUCUUUACCAAGGAUCAUAAUAAACCAUAUAUAAAUAGUUUAGGUACCACAUUAAACAUUUUCAAAGUACAUGUACCAUAAUAAUAACACAUACUGAUAGUACCACAUUAUAUAUUUUCAAAGUACUUGUACCACUAGACAUUUUAUGAAAGUACAGAUAUCAAAGGUGACAUUAUCCCUACUUAUAAUAAUAAUAUCAAAGUUAAAAGAUGCUUUUAGUCCCUAUAUUUAAAAGGUUAGAAAUUAAGUCUUCCGACUUUUUUAUUUAAAAAUCUCGGUACAAUCAUUAAACUCGUAAGUAUUUUCUGUCAAAAUUUAGUAAUUUAACAUGUUGAUUAAGCUAACGGAAACUACAACCAACAUAAAUAAUUAAACUAAUAUUUUUAAAUUAAGAAAAAUUAACUUUUAAAGUACAGGACUAAAACUCAAAUUCUAUAAACCAUUGUUGUUUUAUGCAUGUCGUGAAUGUACGGAAUUUGCUUUCAAUUCUGAAAAAAGCUUGUUACUUUCUAUUUGGUUUUCUCUGAUUUUCUCUUUACAUCAUUUCAUUUCAUGCUUUUUAAUUAGGAGGUUACGAUUGAUUUUAGGUGGUGUGAAUUUGGGUCGGGUCAAUUUUAAUUUAAAAAUUUUCGGGUUAUUUCGAGUUUAUAUUACAUAAAAUUUAGGUUAUUUUAGGAUUAAAUUAUUUUGGAUUUGAGUCGGUGUAAGGUUUUUUUUUUUUCAUAGUUUAGUUCAUUUGCUUUGUGUUUUUGGAUUGCAUCAUUUCGAGUUUUGCCAUUCGGGUUUGAUCACUAAAUCAAAUCAUUUCAAGAUCAUGUCAUUUUGGAUUCAAAUUAUCAAUUUUUUAUAAUCAAAUUGAGUUGAGUUAAGUUUAAAUUCAAAUUAAUUAAGUUGUAUUUUUAUGAUUCUGAUAUAAUGGACAUGUUUUAUCGAUUCAAUUUUACUAUUUAUAAAACCUAUGUUUCUCAAAAUACUUUUUUUCAAAUUAAAAUUUAUUAAUUAUUUAAAUUAAGAUGUUAUUCUUUUUAUUCUUUAUAUAUGUUUUACAGUCUGUGUUCGAGAUCCGUGAAUACCCCACACAACAUUGUUAUCUCCAACGAAUACGCAUUCUCUCCUUCAGAAUGUAAUAUGCCUUGCCACUACGCCAAACACUUGUUGGUAUCUAAAAUGGAUAAAAAAAACACAUUUCUCGUCCCUCUCAAUUUCUAUAUUGAACAAAUUGGUUCCUCUCAGAAAAUUAGAGCAAUUUAAUCAUUAUCAAUUUUGAAAGGGAGCAACUAAGGACAAUUAAUCAUUGUGUUAAUGCUUUCUAUAAAUUGUACAUAAUUUUUAUUGAUAUAAUAACAAAUUAAGCUCUCGAUGUUUAUAUAUUAUGUGUAAAUGUUAAUAGAAUAUGUAAUUGUUGCGGGCUAAAUUUGUUAAAUCAAGACCAAAUUGGCAGAAUGUGUAAACUUUGAGAGCUAAAUUUGUUAUUAUACCAAUAAAAAUAUGUACAAUUGAUGGAAAAUAUUGACAUUGUGAUUAAUUGUCCUUAGCUACUCACUUUCGAAAUUAACAAAGAUUAAAUUGCUUUGAUUUUUUUUAAAUGGACCAAUUUACUUAAUAUCAAAAUUGAGAGCGACUAACGAGGGUUUUUACCAUCUAAAAUCUUAUCUAAUACAAGAAAAACUUAACAACUAUUUUUUUAAUCAUGAAAGGGUAAACUACAUAAUUAGCCACUGAACUAUGGGUAAAUCUUCGUUUUGGUCACUUAACUAAAAAAGUUACAAUUUGGUCACCCUAUUGUUAAAUGACACUUUGUAGUUGCUAUAAUAACAAUUUUACUAUUUUGUUAUAUAAUUUUUUUUGCCAAUCUACCUCGAUUCUAUAUAAAAAUUAUAAAAAGAAACUCAAAAUUAUUUUAAAAAAUAUAAACUUCUAUAUAAAAAUUCUAGAAAAAUAAAAUCUCGAAUAUGUUGUUGUUGAAGAACUAAAAUGUAUGGGAAAUAAAAAAAAAUUAUCAUUCAAUAGAAUCCCAUAACAAAUUAAAAACAGAACAAAACAAAAAAAAAAGGGUUAGAUCAUUAUAUGCUUCCUCAAUGUUUUUUGCAACCAAAUUAGUAAAAUUUUCAAGUUGAGUUCCAUGCCCUUGAAGAACAUCUGUAACUGAUAUUACAAAAGCUUACGAAAUCGACUUUGAUGCCAUUUUUCUAGCAAAAAUAUAAAAUAUACCUCAAAAUUUUCUUUUUCAAACUCAAUUUGAAUUUUCAAUUCAUUUAAAUUUAUUUUUAAAAACCCAAAUUAUAAAAGCAGAUUAUAUACAGAUAAUUUUACUUAAUCUUUUUUUUACUUUUUUCUAUGUUUUCUAAAAGAAUGGAUAUUAGAUAUUUCUUUACAGAUAAUACAAAGAAAAUUUGUAGGGUUUAAAAAUGAUAUUUCCCUCAUUUUCUCUCACUUUAUUUAUAUUUGAAAUUCUUAUCUACUUUCAUUUAAUUUUUAAUUUUUAUAAUUUUGUAAAAUUUAAAAAGAAUUUCAUUUUUGUAAUCAUUUUAUAUAAUCAGAGUUAAAUUGACAAAAAGUAUAAAAAUUGAGGACUAAAAUUAUUAUUAUUCCAACAAAAAAGUGUCACUUAAUAGUCAGGUGACCAAAAAAGUUGUAAACUAUAAAAAUAGUCACCCAACUAUUAAAUUUUCCAAUUAGUUGCUAAACUUUUUGAAAUUAAAUAUUUUAAUCACUCUCCCUUUAGUUGUCGUUAGAUGAGUGACGGAAAGCUGAUGUGGGUUUUUUUUUAUCUAAUAACGAAUUUAACCUCUAAUAUUUACACAUUCUAUCAAUUUGAUCUUAAAUAUAAAAAAUUCAACAAAUUUAGCGCUUUUUACAAAAUUUGUCAUUUUAGUUCGAAUUCUGAAAAAAAAAAUUCAAUAAAGUUAGCCCUUAACAUUUACAAAAUUUGUCUAAUUCUAAUUCUAAAUUUUUAAUAAAAAUAAAAAUAUUUUAAAAAAAAUUAUUUUUAACCCUUUUUACUCACCCUUUGAUUGUGGCACCCACAUAGAAUCUUCGAAGCUAAUAAGCAUAAACCUAAAUUGAAGUUAAAAAGUAAACUAAAAUUGGUGAAAUCACCUUAACUCAAAGAAGAAAAUAAUCGCUGACAUGGUAGCGCCAUGCCAUCGCCCAUUGAUGACAUAUUAACCUUUGAGUUAAACUCAAAUUACUCUUUCUUUUAUUAUAAAUUAAGAGUAUAACUAAUUUUGAUAAGAAUGAUUACUUUUCAUUAACUCAGUUUAAAGGACUAUAACACGUAAAAUUUGGUCUAUUGCAGAAUUCACAUGCAAUGCGGGACAUUUACAUUAUGCAGAAUUCAACACAUAUAUGGGAAUUUUUGUAUUUCCACAAUCAUCAUGUUGUUAGUGAUCAACAACUAUUUCCUUUUUACCAUAUGUUUUUCAUUCAUAAAAUUAAUUCCUUUUUUUUUACCAAAGAAGUAAAAUAAUUAACAUUUCAUGAGAUUACAAAGUCUUCUUCCUUAUAACACGUUAAGUUUGGUCCCAAAUAAUUUUCCACACAAAAGAAUAAAGACUAUCAAUUGUCUAUUGACUUCACACUUGCUGUUGCUUCCUCCUAAAAUUAUCUCAUCGUCAAUGAAGCUACGUGCCUAAAAGCCAUGUAGGAUACCAAUUCCUGUAAUUGUAUUAAUCUCAUCGUUGCUGCAAUCUUUUGACUGUGUAAUCCAAUCUUAAAUAUGUUACUCUGCAAUGCUAUUGUAAAUAUUACUCUUAAAUUAAUAUUUGAACAUCUGCAACAUAAAUGCAUAUGGCAAAAGGGCUCAAACCAUACCUUACGUUCAUAAAUUCUCAUCGCCACGUGUUUAUAAAUGCAACUCAAACUUGAAUAAUUGAAUCUUUUGUAAUUCUACAUGUAUCCUUUUUUAUGGUGAGCAGUACAAUGUUUACUAAAAAUUGAAAUUCAAGAAAGAAGACACACAUAGUUGCACCAUACAAGAUGUUACACUCGAACUAAACCCUUACAAAUAGUACGAAAUGCAAUGAAAUACAGAGGAAUUGGUACAAUCAUAAAAACAGACACAUACCAAUGCAACUUUUCACCAUAGGAAAAACUUUCUGACAGACUACUAAACAAGAAAUUAUGAAGACACAGCACAAAUGCUU
rnacentral:lncRNA from 1 species